UGAGGUUACAAAAUGCGUGUUGGAUUUUUUCUAUAAAUUUGGAGCACCAAAACGGUUGUUAACAGACCAGGGUAAAGAGUUUGUAAACCAGGUAAGCGUGAGUGAGUGAGUGAGUGAGUGAGUGAGUGAGUGAGUGAGUGAGUGAGUGAGUGAGUGCAUUUCAUGUUUUAUUGUUUUCUGGCAGGUCAACUACAGUGUCUGCAACUCGCUGGGGAUAAAAAGGAGCCUUUGUGCCCCCUAUCAUCCCCAAACAAAUGGCUUGGUGGAGAAGAUGAAUGGCACCAUUCAAAGGUUUGAUGAAGGUCUUUGACUAUCAUUAAUAUUAUUACCUUUUUGAGUCACAUUGUAAGUGUGUGUGUCUGUGUGUAUCUGUGUGUGGUAUUUCCUUACAGGACACUGAACAAACUUGUCGGUGACCAACCCAACACAUGGGAUGAACACCUGCCAUCCACCCUGUUUGCACUACGAACGAAGAAACAGUUGACCACCCAAUUUUCUCCAUAC